rnacentral:tRNA from 1 species
GAGGGUAUAGCUCAAGUGGUAGAGCGUAUGCUUAGAAUGCAUGAGGUCCUGGGUUCCAUCCCCAGUACCUCCU